GCGAGGCUUGUGUUGGCUGGUGUUGAACGAGGCUUCGUCUAAAUCGUGGAUGUGGCUAGCACAAAUAAUGCGUUCCUAAAGUAAAAUCUACAUGAAAUGUUUCCAUUCAUGCCUA
rnacentral:lncRNA from 1 species